rnacentral:snoRNA from 1 species
CAACAAUGUUGGUAAUAUUUUUCACCAACAGCAGUUCACCUUAUGAGUGUUGAGACUUUGGGUCUGAGUGA